CCUUAGGUGGUCUGCCCACCGCUUUGGUGGCGCUGAAUGCAGGGGGCAUGCGCAGUACCCUGUUUUUGCUCCCGGGUCUUCAGAAGUGGCAGUUGGGUUUUGGGGGUCUUUUUGUAUCUUGUUGCCCAGAAUUCGCCCCAAGGGCACAUGCACGCAGUUAUUUUUACUCCCUUAUAGUUUCUUUGUAUUUUGUUGCUCAAGGAGACGUUUGUCCAGCUGCAAGCACUGCAGCGAGGGGGCCCAGGGCCCAGGGCCCAGCCUGUCUCGGUCCCAUAAAGGACUGUCCUGUAGGGUCGACGAUGCCCAGACUGGGUGAGCCGGUCCCCUGAUCACGUGCUUGGGGGUCAGGGCAAGGUCAAGUUGCUAUAGAAACAGUGGUUCCUGUACUUUUGGCUAAGGCAGAGUAGCAGGCACAAACCUUUAGGAUUAUGAGCAGAACUGAAAAUUAUAAAGCGAUGUAUAAAAAUCCUUUUAAUAAUGCUGAACCACGGGAGUCUGCUUUGUUACUUUACCAAGUGCGAUGACCAUAGUUUUCCUUUCCUUUUUAAUUUUUUCCUUUUCUUUCCAUUAUUCUCAAGGAUUGAGGCCACUGCCGUGGCCUCAGAGCCCUUCUGAGACCAGAGGUGUGGAUGGCGCAGGAAGCAGAAGGGAAUCUGUUCUGACCUGGGGCGGAGCCCCGUGCGUGCCUCACCGUAUCACUGAAUUCGUGCAGGGCCGAGGGCCGGGAGGGGGAGGCUCAUCCUCUCCAGCAGAAAACAAAGGGCGAAGCCCAAGCAGCAGGCGUUUUAGAAGCCCUCCAGGUGGUUCCCAUCUGCAGCCACGUUUGUAAACCACCGCACCUGGCCAGGGUGCAGUCCCUGGUCGAGUCUAGAAGCUGGAGAAGUACGAAACAGGCGCCGAGCUGUGGAGGAGGAGACGAGAAACCCGGCUGGAGGCGGACGGGGAGACAAAGGUCACACGCCUCCCUCAGCUAUUUUUCUUCUGAAAUCCAACUGAUUUCCUCAAAAUCCAGUUUACCUGGAAUAAGCAAUUUGGUUAAUAAGCAAACAAUCUGAACCUUGAGAAGCCAGUCCCUUCGAAGGCCUGGUAAUCACUGGAGAGGAGAGAAGUAACUCCCUGAGAAAAGCCAACGAUUCGAACGGAACUUUCAUGUUAUUGCUCUGACAAAUGAAGAGAGCUGGAAUUGAUAUCUUCUUGCUUAAAAGCACAUCUCCCUCUUGACUGAAAGGCUGUUUGCUAAGGAGAGAGUUGAAGACAGCAGUUUGAUGGACUGAAGAAGAAGGAAUGACAAGCGAGAUUCAAAUAUACCCAGGAGUUUUAUCACUUCUUCUCGACUGAGACUAGAAGAAUCAGCAGCUGGAGGGG